rnacentral:lncRNA from 1 species
GAGAAUUCAGUGCUAAUAGUAUUUCAUCAUUGGAAGUAGCAGGGAACUAGAAUGUAUUUAUCAUUAAACUCUAACUGCAAGUAGAAUUUAUGGCUAGAAGUUUUUGUUUCUGCUAUGCUGUCCUCCACUAAUUACAAGAACAUUUUUACAUUUAGGAGACAUCAAUAAUCACUGGGCAGAGAGUUUAAGCAAACAAUCACAUUAAACAUUUUUAUGUUAGGGAUGAAACUAUUUUAAUAAUAAAAUAAAAAAAAAAUUUAAUAUAUGACAAAGUUAGUAUUUCUUUUCAUUGGUAAAGAAUGAUUUUUUCAUUUACAUCUAACCACUUAUUUAGCUC